rnacentral:lncRNA from 1 species
UGCCCCUUUACCUCCUCAGCAGUUAUUUCAUGAGUGAUGAGGGGGUAAAUCCCUAGGCCCCCAUUAUGCUCGCGCGGCCCAAGGGAGGCUUCUGUCAAAACAUCCCUUCUCUGCCUUUACUCUUUUCAAAUUCAAACUCCUCAUUUCUCUCCAGACUCUUCUUCUCACUUUUCUCUUUGUAUUUCGUCUCUCUCAUCUUUUGCGAAAUCCCUUCGAGGUACGUCUUCUGCUUUCUCUAAUGGUUGUCCCUAGACUUCUUGAUGUUGUGAAUCUGAGGUCCUGCAUCACUACUGCUUCCCUUACCAACUUCUUUUCUCGGGAAUAUCUAGAUAUCUCUAUCUAUCGUGUUAGGGCUCCUCAUCCUAAUGAGAUGAUCGUUCU